UUGGCGGCGAUGCCUAAUCAUGCAAGCUCGAGCGGACAGAUGGGUAGCUUGCUCCCUGAUGUUAGCGGCGGACGGGUGAGUAACACGUGGGUAACCUGCCUGUAAGACUGGGAUAACUCCGGGAAACCGGGGCUAAUACCGGAUGGUUGUCUGAACCGCAUGGUUCAGACAUAAAAGGUGGCUUCGGCUACCACUUACAGAUGGACCCGCGGCGCAUUAGCUAGUUGGUGAGGUAACGGCUCACCAAGGCGACGAUGCGUAGCCGACCUGAGAGGGUGAUCGGCCACACUGGGACUGAGACACGGCCCAGACUCCUACGGGAGGCAGCAGUAGGGAAUCUUCCGCAAUGGACGAAAGUCUGACGGAGCAACGCCGCGUGAGUGAUGAAGGUUUUCGGAUCGUAAAGCUCUGUUGUUAGGGAAGAACAAGUGCCGUUCAAAUAGGGCGGCACCUUGACGGUACCUAACCAGAAAGCCACGGCUAACUACGUGCCAGCAGCCGCGGUAAUACGUAGGUGGCAAGCGUUGUCCGGAAUUAUUGGGCGUAAAGGGCUCGCAGGCGGUUUCUUAAGUCUGAUGUGAAAGCCCCCGGCUCAACCGGGGAGGGUCAUUGGAAACUGGGGAACUUGAGUGCAAAAGAGGAAAGUGGAAUUCCACGUGUACGGUGAAUUGCUAAAGAUGUGAGGAACACCAUUGGCAAGCACUCUCUGGUCUGUAACUACCUGAGACAAACGGGGCAACGGAUUAAUACCCUGGUA
rnacentral:rRNA from 1 species